CUGUGCAGGUCCACUUGUAUAUGGGAUUCCCCCCCCCCAAAUACAUUGAAAACAUUUUUUGAGAUUUUUGACAAUUUAAAAAUACAGAUCAGCCAGGCAUGGUGGCUCAUGCCUGUAAUGCCAGCACUUUGGGAGGCUGAGGCGGGUGGAUCACCUGGCAUCAGGAGUUUGAGACCAAUUUGGCCAACAUGGUGAAACCCCGUCUCUACAAAAAGCACAAAAAUUAUGCGGUGUGGUGGUGGAUGCCUGUAGUCCCAGCUACUUAGGAAGCUGAGGCAGGAGAAUUGCUUGAACCCAGGAGGCAGAGGUUGCAGUGAGUUGAGAUUGUGCCACUGUACUCCAGACUGGGUGACAGAGCAAGACUCCAUCUCAAUAAAUAAAUAAAUAAAUAAAUAAAUAAAUAAAUAAAAAUAAAAUAAAAAUACAGAUGAACCAUGUAGCCUGGAAAUAAAUAUCAAAAACAAGAAAAAGUUUGGUAUCUCAUGAAUACAUAAAAUACAUGUAGAUAUUAGUCUAUAUUUUAUCACUUACUACCAUAAAAUAUACACAAAUCUAUUAUAAAAAGUUAAAGUUCAUAAAAACGUAUACACACAUAGACAGCACAUGGCACCAUUUGAAGUCAAGAGAAACGUAUAUAAAUGUAAAGAUGCAGUAUUAAAUCAUAACUGUAUACAAUAACAGUAGGAUAUAUUAUACUACUAUAAUAAUUUCCUAGCCACUUCUUGUUGAUGUUGUGGUGAGCUCAAGUAUUAUGAGUACCCACUUAAAACAGUGUGUGAUGCUGAUCAUCUCUGAGUGAACAAGUGAGCAAUUCAUCUUUCCAGUAAGUUACACAUCACAGUAAAAAGUGAUUUCUGAGGGCAAGCGCGGUGGAUUACAGGUGUGAACUACCGUGCCUGGCCCCAACCUUGCCUAUCUUUUAAGCUAUCAGAUGUCCCUUCCCUAGGAAGCCUUCUCAGACAUCUCUCUCUGAAGGCAGCAUUAGUUCCUUUCAGAUAUCCUUUCUUGGUACUCAAUCUAUUUGCAGAUUUAUUGAUUCUUACGUCUGUCUCCCACAUAAAGAUGCACCUCCUUAAAGACUGUUAUGUGUUAACUUUUAAAUAAAUGCUCAUAUGUACAAGGCCCUGUGGUAGGCAUUGGCAUAUCAAAAAAUAAAUUGUUUUCUUGGCUGGGCGUGCUACCUCAUGCCUGUAAUCGCAGCACUUUGGGAGGCCGAGGAGGGCGGACCACUUGAGGUCAGGACUUCGAGGUCAGUCUGGCCAACAGGGUAAAACCCCAUUUCUACUAAAAAUAAAAAAAUUAGUUGGGCGUGAUGGCGCGUGCAUGUAGUACCAGCUACUCAGGAGGCUGAGGCAGGAGAAUUGCUUGAACCUGGGAGGCAGAUGUUGCAGUGAGCCAAGAUUGCACCACAACACUCCAGUCUGGAAUACAGA
rnacentral:lncRNA from 1 species